UACGAAGGGUGCAAGCGUUACUCGGAAUUACUGGGCGUAAAGCGUGCGUAGGUGGUUUGUUAAGUCUGAUGUGAAAGCCCUGGGCUCAACCUGGGAACUGCAUUGGAAACUGGCUUACUAGAGUGCGGUAGAGGGGUGUGGAAUUCCCGGUGUAGCAGUGAAAUGCGUAGAUAUCGGGAGGAACAUCUGUGGCGAAAGCGGCUUCCUGGACCAGAACUGACGAUCAGGCACGAAAGCGUGGGGAGCAAACAGG
rnacentral:rRNA from 1 species